rnacentral:rRNA from 1 species
UAAGCCUGCGAAGGUGGCCUGUGAGGGUUGCUGGAGGUAUCAGAAGUGCGAAUGCUGACAUAAGUAACGAUAAAGCGGGUGAAAAGCCCGCUCGCCGGAAGACCAAGGGUUCCUGUCCAACGUUAAUCGGGGCAGGGUGAGUCGACCCCUAAGGCGAGGCCGAAAGGCGUAGUCGAUGGGAAACGGGUUAAUAUUCCCGUACUUGGUGUUACUGCGAAGGGGGGACGGAGAAGGCUAUGUUGGCCGGGCGACGGUUGUCCCGGUUUAAGCGUGUAGGUGUGUGUUCCAGGUAAAUCCGGUUCACUUUAACACUGAGGCGUGAUGACGAGGCACUACGGUGCUGAAGCAACAAAUGCCCUGCUUCCAGGAAAAGCCUCUAAGCAUCAGGUAACAUCAAAUCGUACCCCAAACCGACACAGGUGGUCAGGUAGAGAAUACCAAGGCGCUUGAGAGAACUCGGGUGAAGGAACUAGGCAAAAUGGUGCCGUAACUUCGGGAGAAGGCACGCUGACACGUAGGUGAAGUGAUUUACUCA